rnacentral:rRNA from 1 species
GACGAACGCUGGCGGCGUGCUUAACACAUGCAAGUCGAGCGGUAAGGCCCUUUCGGGGGUACACGAGCGGCGAACGGGUGAGUAACACGUGGGUGACCUGCCCUUAGCUCUGGGAUAAGCCUGGGAAACUGGGUCUAAUACCGGAUAUGACUCCAUGACGCAUGUUGUGGGGUGGGAAAGCCUUGUGCGGCUAGGGAUGGGCCCGCGGCCUAUCAGCUUGUUGGUGGGGUGAUGGCCUACCAAGGCGACGACGGGUAGCCGGCCUGAGAGGGCGACCGGCCACACUGGGACUGAGACACGGCCCAGACUCCUACGGGAGGCAGCAGUGGGGAAUCUUGCGCAAUGGGCGAAAGCCUGACGCAGCGACGCCGCGUGAGGGAUGACGGCCUCGGUUGUAACC